rnacentral:misc_RNA from 1 species
AGAAAAAAAAAAAGAAAGAAAAAACUGGUUUUGCAAGAACCAAACAGGGUUCUGGUCCAGUUCAAGGUUGGUUUGGUCAAUCUGGGUUUUGUCAAUUUCGAUUCCAGGUUAGACUGGUUUCGAACUGGACUCUGGCCAUGACUGCUUCCAAGUUCCAAGGCAACAAUCACUGGCAUGAAAGCGCUAUCAUGCACAACUAACACAGCAAUCACCAUCAUCAUUGCAACAGCACAGCCUCAGCACAUAGAUGCCAUCAGCACCAUUGCCAAAUACAGAAACUUAACAACUUGUGGAAACGGAUGCAUGAAUUAAGAUAUGUGAAAACUUCUAAAAAGAUCGAGCCACAUGUCCAAUCCAUGUGAUUGAUG